rnacentral:rRNA from 1 species
CACGUAGGGGGCGAGCGUUGUCCGGAUUUAUUGGGCGUAAAGAGCUCGUAGGCGGCUAAGUAAGUCGGGUGUGAAAACUCCAGGCUCAACCUGGAGACGCCACCCGAUACUGCUUUGGCUAGAGUCCGGUAGGGGAGCAUGGAAUUCCUGGUGUAGCGGUGAAAUGCGCAGAUAUCAGGAGGAACACCAGUGGCGAAGGCGGUGCUCUGGGCCGGAACUGACGCUGAGGAGCGAAAGCGUGGGGAGCAAAUGGG